rnacentral:tmRNA from 1 species
GGGGUUGACUGGUUUUGACAGCAUGCGUAAGAGUUAUGUAAGCAUGUCGGGUUUUGCAAGACUAUCCGUAAUAAGUGUUGCAACGUUUUAGUUGGCGAUAACAACUAUGCACUCGCAGCUUAAUCUGAAGUUUAGUAGGAUGGCUUAAUCGGUACACAAGGUGUAUCGACGAGUCCUUUCACCAUGGGUUUGCCUUACAUCCGUGGAAUCUGAGAGGUCAUAAGUAGGGCUAGUGAGUCAAGCGCUUCGAUUGAUUUGCGAAACUUAAGGAGCUAAGUUUAAUUCAGGUUGCUUAUUACCGGGCUUAAAUCGAAAACCAAUAAUAAGCUAAGCAUGUAGAAGUCAUAGUUGUUCCAUGACUGGACGCGAGUUCGAAUCUCGCCAACUCCACC